CAUCAACAAAUAUAGAUAUUAACAAAUUAAACGUGAACAUUAUUUUAAUAUUUGGUCAAAUCCAACCAGGUGAGCGAUACAGUCCCUCUGGGCCUCUUGUACAGUGUGUUCACCAGUUAAUGAUUCUGUUUACGUUGAUUAAGUCUAUAUAUGUAACAGUUUGAAUCACUACCGAAAGGCAAAGGUCCACUUGAUAUAGUCACUUUUUAUUUUUAAUCUGUUUGUUUGAAUAUUUUGUAAUAAUUAUAUAAAUAUUGAUAUGUUAUAAUUUUGUCACAUUACUAAUAAUUAUGUUUAGCUGGGCAUGUCCAUUUGGUCACUAGCAUGCUUGGAAGAAGGGCUACCAACUUUCAAGGUUAUAGCGGUCGCAAAUGUUUUGAAAUCUUUACAAAACAAGAACAAAAUAACUCAUUUACCAAGGAGCCCCAUUCUCACAAUUUUUGGCCAGUGGAGAUGUAAGAUGAAGGGCCACGAAGUUUGUAAAUGAAUGGCCUUGACUGCCACUUUCAUAUUAUUCUUAAAUGCUAAUGUACCCUUUCUAUGGGAAAAAACAAUCAGAAACAUAAAGAGUGUAAUUCAGUUACCCGUGACUAGUGUGUGUAUAGGUGUAUGUUAUCAUAGGUAUAACCUCUAAAUAAUAUUUAACAGACAUGCUGAAUUGGCCACGUGUCAGAUGUUAAUAUUCUUACUAAAUGAUACUUUCAUUUAUUUACGGAGCUUUCCCUCCUGAUCAGCUGACAAACACCUUAUGCGUUUUGCAAGCCCUUGGAUCUAUAUAAGUUUUGUUGAAUGAUUAUGUGAAGAGGAAUUAUGUUUAAGUUACACAAUUUUGGUGAUUUGAAAUUAUCCUCUACAAUAAUAAUCUCCAAAGAUGAUUUUUUUGUUCGGGAAUAUUUUGACUUUAGAGGAAAGCUAUAUUCUUAUUUACUGUUACAAAAUGUUCCGUUCUACCGAUCUUUGAAUAUGAGCUUGUGAAUGGUGAUACGUUUGAAUGUGAUAACGUGUGUUGUACUUGUGUUGAUAGGCCAUGUGGUCAUCUGUUACGACAGUUUCAGUGUGAUGAUAGUUAUUUAUCAUACAUGUAUUGCUAUGAAGUUGUUGAAUUCAUGAAUAAUUGUGUUGAUGAUCAUAACCAAUACUAUAUUAUCAAAGAUGAAGGUCUCCAUUUCUUGAUUAACAGAAUCUCUACCUACAGGUGAUGUCCUACGAGUCUCUAUAUGUACCUGUCACUAUAAAUGUAACUUUCUACGCAGUCAUGAUCAGAGGUCAAAAGGUCAUCAUUAGUUUGAAUAGUUUGUUUGUUGAUUGUUUUUAUUAUUGCCUUUAUAUACAGUAUUUCUACCAUCUUAAGUAUAAUUGUACUUAUAUUUGAUAAUGAAAUAAGAACAUGUACAUGUGUUUGAUAGUGAAAUGUGAAAAUAUUUAAUUUCAUUGGUAAAAUCACAGAAGAACAGGAUACAGAUAUAGUGUAUGUGGUUAAUUGAGAAAAAAAUACACAAAUGUCCUUUAAAUCAUCCAAAGGCUAGGCAUUCUGGGAGGGCUCGUAGUUUCUGAUUCACUGAUAUGACACAGGCCUUUUUCAGUUGGAAACAUAGGUCAAAAUCCAAUUAGAUAUUCUUAGAUAAGACAAAAAGACCACGAGGUAAUAUAAAGGAAAUUGUCAUUAGAUAAGACAAAAAGACCACGAGGUAAUAUAAAGGAAAUUGUCAUUAGAUGUAUGUAAACCUAGUCCUACAUGUAAAACCACAGAGUACAGACCCCGUCCUCUGAUAGCACCUCGUAUCAUCUUCAGUGUUAGAUUGAACAAAUCGGUACUGACCGGUACCAUUAUAAACCUAGAAACUACUAACAUUGUCACUUCUACCGUAUGUUUAAUUUGUUACUGUGUAAGAUGUGACCAAAUCAUGUCACUACUGUGUUUAAUUUGUUACUGUGUAAGUGCCCUAUAUGUGACCAAAUCAUUUGUUUUAUCAGUACAUGUAUAACCCUUUUUAGUUUGUUCUAAUCCAUUAUG